rfam:Phytophthora infestans T30-4 supercont1.81 genomic scaffold, whole genome shotgun sequence.
GACAGCUUGGCCGAGUGGUUAAGGCGAUAGACUAGAAAUCUAUUGGGGUAACCCGCGUGAGUUCAAAUCUCACAGCGGUCG